rnacentral:rRNA from 1 species
GACGAACGCUGGCGGCGUGCUUAACACAUGCAAGUCGAGCGGUAAGGCCCUUUCGGGGGUACACGAGCGGCGAACGGGUGAGUAACACGUGGGUGACCUGCCCUCAGCUCUGGGAUAAGCCUGGGAAACCGGGUCUAAUACUGGAUAUGACUCCAUGACGCAUGUUGUGGGGUGGAAAGCCUUGUGCGGCUGAGGAUGGGCCCGCGGCCUAUCAGCUUGUUGGUGGGGGAUGGCCUACCAAGGCGACGACGGGUAGCCGGCCUGAGAGGGCGACCGGCCACACUGGGACUGAGACACGGCCCAGACUCCUACGGGAGGCAGCAGUGGGGAAUCUUGCGCAAUGGGCGAAAGCCUGACGCAGCGACGCCGCGUGA